GAAGGAGUAGUUUAAUAAAAUUUUCGAUUUCGGCUCGUUUGUUUUUGGUUAAAAUCCAAACUCUUUUU
rnacentral:tRNA from 1 species